rnacentral:rRNA from 1 species
GUAGGGUCCAAGCGUUAAUCGGAAUUACUGGGCGUAAAGCGUGCGCAGGCGGUUGUGCAAGACCGAUGUGAAAUCCCCGGGCUUAACCUGGGAAUUGCAUUGGUGACUGCACGGCUAGAGUGUGUCAGAGGGGGGUAGAAUUCCACGUGUAGCAGUGAAAUGCGUAGAGAUGUGGAGGAAUACCGAUGGCGAAGGCAGCCCCCUGGGAUAACACUGACGCUCAUGCACGAAAGCGUGGGGGGAGCAAACAGGAUUAGAUACCCUGGUAGUCCACGCCCUAAACGAUGUCAACUAGUUGUUGGGGGAUUCAUUUCCUUAGUAACGUAGCUAACGCGUGAAGUUGACCGCCUGGGGAUACGGUCGCAAGAUUA